CUCUGCGUCCUUUUAGCGGACUGCAGUGGAUGCUGUCGAGCUGACGGGACUACACGCACCGGCGCGCGCACACAACUACUUAACAUGUAAAGGGAGGUUCGGAGCGUUCAUCAGUUUGGAGUGUGAAGGAGAAAAAAAGGCUUAAAUGUCUUUUGGAAUGUCUCUUUUGUUUCUCCACAGCGGGAUACGGGAUACGCAGCAUGACCGGUGCGCGUGUUCAAAUGAGCCCAAUUGAUGUUGUGGACCCCCGGCGAUGUGAUUUUACUGCGAUGGUGAGCCAACAUGCAACUCUUCCUCGGCUUUCUAGCGACUGCUCCUCUUCGAGGAUGGUGAGCAAGGACCUGUGUGCAUAUUUGGAUCUUGACUUUUGAACGAGAAUGAAGAACAAGUGCACGACACUCGGGCUUUGAGGUGCCCAUCUCUCAAGGAGGAACAGUUGUCUUCUUUUGGGGGAGAGGAAAAAGCAAAGGAACAGAGAAAAAGAUUGUAUCGACGCCGAUUCUCAUUUAACGGAAUCCAAACGAGUUUGAGCUUGUGAGAUGCCGAGAAGCUAAGUGGCUUGUACAACCACUGACAUCUGACAACCUGGUGCACCGCAACAUGGAUUAGAAACCCCGCACCUCAAGAAAUCAAAGGUGGCUGUGACAGGGGCACCCCCGGGGCAGGACCCAUGAGGAGUUAUAGAAGAUGCUCACAGCCUGGGCGCUUCUGCUCUUCUUAGCCAUGUGGGUGACAAGCACCUCUGGUGGCCCGCUCUCCUUCAGAAUAGCUGCCAUCCUUGACGAUCCUAUGGAGUGCAGCAGAGGCGAGCGUCUGGCCAUCACGCUGGCCAAGGACAUCAUCAACAGGAGCAGCAAUCGCUCCAUCACUGGAAAGUUGGAGGUGGACAUCUUUGAGCUGCUCAGAGAUAGUGAAUAUGAAAUGGGAGAAACAAUGUGCCAAAUUAUGUCAAAGGGCGUGGUGGCGGUCCUAGGUCCUUCUGCCAGUCCGGCCUCCAACUCUAUCAUCAGUAAUAUCUGCGGUGAGAAGGAGGUUCCUUAUGUGAAGGUGGCUCCGGAAGACAUUCUAAAGGUCCAAUACCCUCGUUUCACCACUCUCGACCUGAGGCCAACCAACAUGGAUGUCAGUCUAGCUGUGGCGAGUCUUCUCACCUUCUUUAACAGCACCACCUCCUGCCUCAUCUGUGCACAGGCCGACUGCUUAUUGAACCUGGAGCAACUCCUCAGGCAGUUCCUCAUCUCCAAGGAGACCUUGUCAGUGCGUAUGCUCGACGACAGCCAGGACCCGACCCCGCUCUUGAAGGAGAUACGAGACGACAAGACCGCCACCAUCAUCGUCGACGCCAACGCCACCAUGUCCCACAUCGUUCUGGAACGGGCAUCAGAGCUGGGAAUGCUGUCAGUCUACUACACGUACAUCUUCACCUCUCUGGAGUUCUCCAUGCUGCGAUUGGAUGACGUGGCGGAUGAGCGGGUCAACAUCGUGGGUUUUUCCGUUUUCAACCAAACGCAUCCAUUCUUUGAGGAUUUUGCGCUAAGCCUCAACCGCUCCUGGCAAGAGAACUGUGAACACGCUCACUUCGCGGGCAUCCCGCUCUCCUCAGCUCUUCUCUUUGAUGCGGUAUACGCGGUGGUGGCAGCAGUCCAGGAGCUGAACCGUAGCCAAAAUGUAGGCGCUACUCAGCUCUCCUGCAAGUCCUCCAAAAUCUGGGAGCACGGCACCAGCCUCAUGAAUUACCUGAGGAUGGUGGAGCUGGAGGGUCUAACAGGCCACAUUGAAUUCAACAGCAAAGGUCAACGCUCCAAUUACGCCCUUCGGAUCAUGCAGAGCAGCAAGGACGGCCUAAGGCAGAUUGGCCUGUGGCACUCUGAAGAUGGACUGUCUAUGGAGAAGAAGCUUCCAUCAAUCAACGUGACGGACACCCUCUUCAACACGACUCUUACCAUCACUACAAUACUCGAGAAUCCAUACGUGAUGCUGCGGUCGGAUCACCAGGAAAUGGAAGGAAACGAACGCUACGAAGGCUUCUGUGUGGACAUGCUGAAGGAACUGGCAGCCAUACUCAAGUUCAAAUAUCGAAUCCGACUGGUGGGGGAUGGACAGUAUGGUGUCCCUGGAGCCAAUGGAACGUGGAGCGGUAUGGUGGGAGAGCUCAUUUCAAGGAAAGCCGACUUGGCAGUCGCUGGCCUCACCAUCACUGCGGAGCGUGAAAAGGUCAUUGACUUCUCUAAACCCUUCAUGACCCUCGGGAUCAGCAUCAUGUAUCGUGUCCACCUGGGUCGACGGCCAGGCUACUUCUCCUUCCUGGAUCCGUUCUCGCCAGGCGUGUGGCUCUUCAUGCUGCUGGCCUACUUGGCUGUGAGCUGCGUGCUCUUCCUGGUGGCUAGAUUGACACCUUACGAGUGGUACAACCCGCACCCCUGCCUGAAAGGACGCUGCAACCUGCUCAUCAAUCAAUACUCCCUCGGAAACAGCUUGUGGUUCCCCGUCGGGGGUUUCAUGCAGCAAGGUUCCACCAUCGCCCCCAGGGCGUUGUCCACGCGCUGUGUCAGCGGAGUGUGGUGGGCGUUCACAUUAAUCAUCAUCUCGUCGUACACCGCCAACCUGGCCGCCUUCCUCACCGUUCAGAGGAUGGAGGUGCCCAUCGAGUCAGUGGAUGACCUGGCGGAUCAGACGGCCAUCGAGUACGGCACCAUGCACGGCGGCUCCACCAUGACCUUCUUCCAGAACUCCCGUUACCAGACGUACCAACGAAUGUGGAACUUCAUGCACUCCAAGCAGCCCAGCGUGUUUGUGAAGAGCACGGAGGAGGGCAUCGCUCGCGUUCUCAAUUCCAACUACGCCUACCUGCUGGAGAGCACCAUGAAUGAGUACUAUCGCCAGAGGAACUGCAACUUGACGCAGAUCGGCGGGCUGCUCGACACCAAGGGCUACGGUAUCGGAAUGCCGCUGGGCUCCGUGUACCGCGAUGAAUUUGACCUGGCCAUCCUCAAGCUUCAGGAGGACAAUCGCUUGGAGAUCCUCAAGCGGAAAUGGUGGGAUGGCGGCAAAUGUCCAAAGGAAGAGGACCACCGUGCCAAAGGUCUGGGAAUGGAGAACAUCGGCGGCAUCUUUGUGGUCCUGGUGUGCGGCCUGCUGGUGGCCAUCUUCAUGGCGGUGCUGGAGUUUGUUUGGAUGCUGAGGCACGCGCCAGGAAACGAGUCGGUGUGCGAGGAGAUGCUUCGCGAGCUACAUGGCAUCGUCCUGUGUCACGACAGCCUGCAGGUGAGGCGCCGCCGGACGUCGUCGGUCACGAGGCCGCGACCCCUGCCCCAGGACGAGCGCCGGGCACGAGCGGCCGCCGUGGGCCUGGCCAACGGCAAGCUGUGCGGCGGCACGGGCCUACCCGAGCCGUUCUCCCACAGACUGGCUCAAGAAGCCGCCCUGGUGGCCAGAGGCUGCAGCCACAUUCGCAUUUGCCCCGAGUGCAGACGCUUCCAGGGGCUCAGGAUGCGUCCCGGGGCGGCCGGGGCGCUGCCGUCCCCCACGCCGAGUCAGGAGAGCAUAGAGUGGGACAAGACGACAAACAGCAGCGAACCUGAAUAACACGUGCCCCGCAGAUGUCCGCCUUCCUAGUCGGACGGCGCUUUGUUGCUGGAUGGCCAGACACAGGACCGAGGUCCUAUGCCGUGCCAGAUGGAACGCCCCAAUGGUACGCAGUUCCUGCUGUGUCCUCUCGUGCUGACAAAUCCAACAGCAAUGUCAACCAGAAGAACCUAAUUCAUAAACGUCUCCUGUAGCUAAAGAAAAUUUAGCUAUUUUUGUCUUGCGGGAGCAUCAUUGGACUCUUGCUCAUGUGAGACUUGUCAACAAACCUUUGCUGACUUUGAUCUGAAUGAGGGGAGUAAAUGCUUGAUUAUCCUUUACUUAACUCCUUCACUACCAACCCAGACAACUGGGAUCUUUGACGCCUAUAUCCGUCAAUGGCAGUGAAUGGGUUAAGUUACCAAAUAUGGUUUCUUGUUCUAAACAGGUCUGCGAUGAUUACGAUCAGUCUUGUGGUGGUUUUUUAUCCCAGUCAUUGACUUUAUGUAAGCUUUUGUGUUGUGCGUGAUAUUCACAUUGUGCUCGCUCUCUCUCUCUCUCUCUCGCUCUCUCCAAAGUGAGAUGGUGUCAAGGCUGUUACUCAGCUGUUUACUUGCUGAGGGUUGUUGGGCAUUUUGGCCGAAACAUCCUCAGUCAAAGACUAGUAACCUUCCAAUCCGACAGGAAGAUGGACACACAGUACACACAAAUUACUGUUAUUGCCUCUCUGCACUUGGCUCCAUGGGAAAUCACAGUUUGGACAUUGGAGCAGCUGCAGGCAAGCUCCUGUGAGUAGUCACAUCGCUAACCAAACAGCAGCAGAUGCACUAGUCGGAUUGGAAUUGAAUUAAAUGUGGACAACUUGACUUAUUUUCUUUCAAGAAGCCACUUUGGUAGUGAUCAUUUCCGUAAUGUAUCACACCAAGUGCGUUUUAACAAAACAAAACAAAUACUUGUGGAAAAAUACUCACAAUAAUGAUCAACCUUACAAUACAGUACAGUAAUAAUGUUCAUCAAAAGUGAGGCAGAUGUUUUACUUAUAGUAUUUAUUAUUAUUGUAACCCACAGAAACGUUAUGCAUAGUUUUAACAUUUAGUUAAGUUUUUCUUUUGCAGCCUUCUAAGAUAUUAGUACCACAAUAUGAAUCACUAAUUGAAUGUGCAUAUUCACGAACAGAAACAGUACACGAGAGCUACAAUUACAAUAAUAUCAAUAAAUUAUUAAAUAUAUUAAAUUAUUUAUUUGGCCACUUGAAAAAUAUAUACAUUUUUAUCGUUGUAAAGGCAGAAUGUUGAAUACAGUUUUUGAGUCCUUGCCCAAGUGCGCUCUGAAUGGCUAGUUGUCCCAUACUGCAGGAACAAAUGAAUGGCGAACUCUAGUGGACAUUAAGCAACAUUACAGCACAUUUUAUUUUUAUAUAUAUAUAUAUUAAUCCCAACACCUACCAAUGUACCAGUGCAUGUAUUAAUUGAACCAUUGAGUUACAUUUCCAUUGUGUGAUUGAAACCUGAAAAAUGUCCA